rnacentral:rRNA from 1 species
GACGGAGGAGGCGAGCGUUAUCCGGAGUUACUGGGCGUAAAGGGUAUGUAGGCGGCUGGUCAAGUCUGGGGUUAAAGACCACAGCUUAACUGUGGGGGGGCCUUGGAAACUGACCGGCUGGAGUGGGGCAGGGGUUGCGGGAAUUCCCGGUGUAGCGGUGAAAUGCGUAGAUAUCGGGAAGAACACCGGAGGCGAAAGCGUGCAACUGGGCCCUAACUGACGCUGAGGUACGAAAGCUAGGGGAGCGAAUGGG